GACUGCGCUUCGCAGCUGCACUUGCUGUGGAGCAUGUGUGUACGAUGGUUUGAUGCGGCUCGCAACCACGUUGGCGUGUCACUUGCAUAUGUGUAGCCAUCCCCAUUGCUGGAAGUCAGUCUCCAUGACCUAGCUUUUGCGCUUCGCCUUUAGUUGGAAAGAGUGUUCUACCCUGGCAGGUUUCUUCGUGGCAGCCGUACUGCUGGAGCGUCAACAUCACUACUCCGCACACGUCACCAGGCAGAAGAGGUGACAAAACAUCACCAUUCACAAGUACUUCAUCCGCUACC